UGUUAUUAUAGAAAUUAAAAAAUACCUCUCUUUCGUAUUUUCUUUUUUGAAUAUGUUAUUAUAGAAAUUAAAAAAUACCUCUCUCUCUCUCUCUCCCUCUCUCUCUCUCUCUCUCUCUCUCUCUCUGCAUUCGUUCCCUUCUGCCCUACCCAUCCCGUUCCCUCACCUGUUCCAUGGUCGACGACCACGUUAUACCCACCAACGAUCUCCCUCGUCGCUAUCAAUCGACCCAGGAGCACCGGGAUUAGCCGCCUGCAAGCCUUCUUCCCUUCCCCUCGCGAAUCGCCAUCCACCGUCGAACCACACCUCUCGUCGCUUCAUCCUCUUCACGAUCGGUCAUCAAUCGAAGGCUAAUGUUUGAUUUCAUCCCUGUUUCCUUCGUGUCUACUGUGGUUCAUCCGCGUUCAUAUUCUCCUUCACCUUCUAGCUCCUCCUUUCAAAUGUCACUUCUACAUUCUCUUUCCUCUGUAUUUUGUGUUAGGUUAAAACCCAGAUCAUAUAUAACACGACCCAAAGUUAUGAAGUCGAAAUCGUUUCAAGCCCUAAUCGGAGGAGAGAGUAUUAAUUGGUGAGAUUGUGCAUCUUCUGCAAACAUGGGGGUUUUCUUGAAAACAUCAUGAAUAUAAAACUGGAUCUUGAAAGGAUGUACAUGAUGCAUACGUUUAGGUUCCCAUUCUCGAUGGAUCAGCGAGGGAAUGGGUGGAAGCUAUCGAGCAAGUUGGGAUUGUACUUGCUAUGGAUUCCAAUGGCAGAAAUUGUUUUAUGACAUAUCAAGCUCAACCAGCUUCGACGGAGGUGAGGAAGACGAAGACGAAUAAUGAGAGGGAGAUGUGGUGGCGACGGUGAUGCCAUCUUUUCCGGUGGUAGUUAGUAAUGGAGAGAGAGAGUGUGUGUGUGUGUGUGUGAGAGAGAGAGAGAGAGAGAGAGAGAGAAAGAGAAGAGAUUUAAUUUUAUUUUUUUAAUUUGAAAAUCAGAAAAACAAUUAAGAAAAAAAAAAGAAAAUCAUAUUAACAGGGGCAAAUCCGUCAUUUUGAAAAAAAUCAGAAUUGAUUGGACCAAACAAGCAA